UGAAAAAGUGUAUUAUAGGCCUGACGCUGAACGAAUAGGCAAAGGAAAUUAUUCUCAUGAUACACAUGAUACAAGCAGUGAAGAAAAAAGUAUGUCAAGGUCUCCGUCAAAGAAGCGAGGCAAUCCAAUUUUCCGUCAUGACGUACUUCAAAAUACAAAGAAACAAAAUAGUUUGGACGUUAUAUUCAAGAGGUUGUUGAAACAAAAGGGAAGGAAACUCCUCCGAGAACUUCUGAUGUACAUUGAUGUUUCAAAAGCCAAUAUUUAUUCAAAAAACCCUCAAAGGAAACCCUGAAGUUAUCCUGACACGGAAUGAGGGAGGAAACCCUUUAAAAUCUAUUUUUUUAAAUUUUACUUUUAACUUUUAAACAAAAGGGCACAGAGACUUUGUACAUGUACGUGUACGAGGAUUGUUCGGAAAGUUCGUGGACUAGCGUCAUAAAAUUAAAACCGCUUAAGAUACAUCAAUGAAUUUUUCAACGUUUAAUUAGCAUCAUCUUAUUUGUUUAUAUAAUAAGCUAUACAUCAUUAGUUUUAUUUUUUAAUGAAUUGUUGAUGUUUUUGAAAGCAAUGGUAUGUCCAGGCGGCUCAACCUCGAAGAUUACGUUUUUUCUACCUAAGUAUAACUGAGAAAAAAAACCUCAUUUUUUGAUAUGAGCAUUUGUCAUUCAAAAAUCCCGUGAAUUCACUCAUGUGGAAUGACACAAUUGUACCGUAAUAUUUGCAAUUUUUACCCCAUUCUGUAAGUUCUAUGAAAUUUUAUCGUAAAAUUUAUAUGAAACGUCCAAACAAUUAUGGGGUUGUAAUGACGUCAGAAAGGGGGUGGGUUUCUUUUUCCAACAUUCUAUGAAGUUUCGCACUCAGGAAAAACUGGCAUAGACCUAGGAAAUAUUUAAAUGGGCUACUGAAAAAUGUUGAACUCAGACAAGCAAAUAUGCUGUAAUAAUCAAGUGAGGAUCUUUCAGAUCUAUUUACAAUAUUAUAUGCAUUGAAAGAAGCUGUUUAUGACAUUGUAAAAUCAUAUAAACAAGACGGGUUUAAAUCUUUACUUAACCCACGGAAACUUAUCAAGAUAAGUGUAUGAGGUUGAGAAUGCGGACAUUGAAAGACAAUGACGCCAUGAAACUAUAUGGCGACAGCGCCGGGUGAUCAUAUAAUGUCUUUUUUAUUUUAUGAUAAUUUGGUAAAUAUUCAAGGUAUCAAGCUAAAAUUUUCAACAUUUCUUUAACUUUUGUUGUUUUAUGUUCAUUACAAAUUUUGUAAGUAUAGACUACAUAGUAAUAAUUUUAUCGCAUCAGUCCACGAACUUUUCGAACAACCCUCGUAUAAGAUUUUAUUUUUUUAAUUUACAGUUUACUGGUACAACUUGUGGUAACUAACAAAUAAAUACAAAAGGGCCUCCAUUUAUUGAAAUGAAUUUGAACAAACAAAUGGCACACAUUAUGCAAAUUGUAGGCAUUAGUUCAUUUUCUCAUCAUUCGGAAAAAAUUAUAUUUGAAUUUCUUUUUUUACAAAAUUAUUUGUAUAAUUAUUUCACUUGCCAAUUUGAAUGGCAAGCUUUCAAAAUAUUUGACCAAUUUUGCUUAGUAUGUUUAUAUAAUUAUGUACUUUAUAGUUUACCCUUCA